AAUUCUAUUUCCCUCAGCGACAAAAGUGGCAUUGACAAAUUUAAGGGAUCAGAAGGAACAUUCCACUGCGUCUUUGCUUACUUCAAGAUAUGGCGCAUCAGCAGAGAUAGAUGCGAUAAUGUCUUCUUCUCCCUUGACAGUGACCAAACAACCAUCCAUGAUGAACUUUUCUUUUUGAUGGAGAGAGGAUGGAACUGCU
rnacentral:lncRNA from 1 species